UUUCAGCUGAACAGCAAGUUGACGAGAAGUCUGUGGUGAAAGUUAUGAUACUUUAAAGGACAUGUAAUCUGCUGUGCUUUUCAAAACCCCCAAAUAGUUAUCAAUGUUGCUGUUUGUCUUGGAAUUGCAGAUUUUCCAUAAAAGAAAGCCUGGUUUUGUUAAGAAAUGUGGAGCAGAUAUCUUGAAUUUAAGUGAAAGCAUCUCCAAGCACUGUCUGAGGGAACUACUCAGUGCUUCACACUGAAUUGCCAGCAUCGCUCCAAACUUCUCUGCGUGGUGGUUUGCCGUCUGAGAAACAUUAAAAACAGCUGUGGAUGUUAAAGAUGCUCCCUGCUCCCCACAACAACAGUGUUUCAUGGCACCAGAGUUAAUAGCUGUGGAAGGACUGAGCACAACUGACUGAGGCUAUGAAAUGUCACUACAUUUGCAUUGGAUGGUCUUCUGUCCUGUGCCAGCAGGGAAGAAAGUAAUAGAUGCAGUGCACUGAGCCCAGCGAGGGAUUGAGGAGACCUUGCCCUGGCAAGAGCUGGCCUUCGUGCGUGUCCUCUGGCCAGGAGAGAAACUUUCCGCUGUGCUGCCCCUCCAGCCUCCUCAAGAGCAACGAAGGCAAGUGCUUCCAGGGGCCAACUCAUCAGCCCAGAUGCUGAUUCAGCCCAAGAAUAUUUAACGGCAGCAGAAAAAUGGAUCACACCAGAGGAUUUUCUCCUUGAAGAGGAUUUCACCCUGUUCUACUCAGAGAUGGAAAUUUCUGAGACCCCACUUCCUCUGCGUGUGCCGUCCUUGCUGCUGGCUCCUUCAGCGACACGCGGGAUCCUGCCAACGCGGGGUUGUGGCAGCCACAUGGAUGAAUAUGGGUGUCCCCAACAGUCCACCAGUUCAGACCUUCAUCGCUCUGUAAGGUUUACUUAAAGAUUGAUACAAAUAAGAGAGUGAAGCACUUUUUUACUUGAACAGUGAGAGGCAAGAGUGUCAUUACCUGGAGACCCAGGGUCCCUGGCCAGAUCAUUGGGCCUGGAGAGUUACCUACCAGACAUUUCUUGGAUUCUGCAGAAUAAAUGGACAUCCAGGUAAUGGGGUAGGAAAGUAACCAGACUGAAGGAUUCCCCCAUGGACAAAUCCCC